GACGAACGUUGGCGGCGUGCUUAAUACAUGCAAGUCCACUGAAGCAGUGGUAGCAAUAUCGCUGUGGAGGUGGCGCACGGGUGAGUAACACGUAGGUAAUCUGCCUUCAGGUCUGGCAUAACUCCGGGAAACCGGGGCUAAUAGCAGAUGAUGCAGCGGCUCGACAUCGAGACAGUUGUUAAAGCUAUGGCGCCUGAAGAUGAGCCUGCGUCUGAUUAGCUAGUUGGCGGGGUAACGGCCCACCAAGGCAACGAUCAGUAGCUGGUCUGAGAGGAUGAUCAGCCACACUGGAACUGAGACACGGUCCAGACUCCUACGGGAGGAAGCAGUAAGGAAUAUUGCUCAAUGGGAGAAAUCCUGAAGCAGCAACGCCGCGUGAGGGACGAAGGGCUUUUGCUUGUAAACCUCUGUAGUGAGAGAAAAAAAUCCCAAUCUUUGGGACAUGAUGGUAUCUCAAAAGUAAGCCCCGGCUAACUACGUG
rnacentral:rRNA from 1 species